rnacentral:lncRNA from 1 species
GUACUUACAAAUCUGGGCAUCGAGUGAUGACCCUUUACUAAACCAGAGUAGUUUUUUUUGUCCUACUGAAUUAUACUUAAAAGGUAUUUACACAAAAUUAACAUGCUUAUUUUCAUGACUGUUUAAGUAAAUACUUAUCUGCAAGUAUUUAAAACUAUGUUUCUACUACAUUUAAUAUAUGGAGUUCAAUAUGGAAAAACUUCUAGAAGAGUCUAUUGAGAUGACAGCUUUAUCAUCAAGAGAAACAGACAAAAAUUAUUUAAGCCAAUGGUUUGGUAUUUCCUCAGAACAAAAGCCUAACAAUUAGUCUAGUUCUGGACAUUUUUCACAUCCCCAAAUAAUAUGAUGUUGCUGCGUUACAUUAACUCAAUCAUUCUGUCAAACAUUUGCAUGUUCAGUCUAACGCUAUAAUUUCAUCUUGCUCUUCGGUUUGCUCCAUACGCACUCUCUUUGUACUGACACACUCUUUAUCUUCUAGUUUUCUCUUGCGGCUCUUAUUUUCUGUAUCAUCAGCAUUACUUGAAUGGCCUUCAUCUUCAGAAUCAAUAAUAAAUAGAUCAUCUUGAUCUGGAGCCGUUGAUGUUGAAGGCUGUGCUCCGUCAUCGCUACCAUUGGUAAUGUUUUUGGAUGUUGGUUCUGAUGGUUUAGGGCCAACUUUUUCAGGGGCGUCGCCCACAACUUCGAAUUCUACAUCUUUUUCUAGGUCUUCACUAUGAAGCACAUUGAUUAACAGAGUAUAAUCCUGGAGGAAAUCAUCUGCUUGUAGUCGAGUGCCGUUUCGAAUUCCAAAGUCUGAUAAUUUCCUAUCGUUAUUUGCUUCUGUUUCUCCUUCUUCUGAGGAGAUAAGAAUGGUUCCCUUUCCAUCAUCUAUCUGUAUAUCCGGUGCUACCAUAGCAAAUUUUUCUUUCACUAUCUUGUCCUGGAGUGUUAGCACAGUUACUUUGUGUACAUUAAGUCUCACAGUCACUUCUGGCUUACUUGCACAUACGUAACAGUUAGGAUUUGGUGGAUCCAAAGCACAAGGAACCAAUAGCUUCUUUUUGGGAUUUGGCUGCUUGUUCAAAAAAAUCGUUCUACACUGAUCUAUUUUUCCUGAUAAAAUCUUCAAACCCUCCAACACUAUCAGACCAGCUAUUAUUGCAUUAGUAGUAGCUAUAGCUGGGAUAAUAUUUCCUGCCAUUGACUUGAUAUCAAAUCUGCUCUUCAUAUUCAUACUGAAAACAUGCAUCCUGAGGUUUGCAGCAGAAGUGACAAAAUCCAUUGCAGAAGGGUCAUCCUUAUCCCAUAUAAGCUCUGCUCCAUCACCUUUCUCAGCCAGGUGAAGUCUCAGGGUUUCAACACUUUUUGAGAAUAAGUGUGCAUAGCUCUUGACAUCGAGGACCUGCUGAUCUUUCAAAACUGAGGAGGAUUCAUUUUGUUGGUCAGGUACGUUUUUCUCUUGAUUUUGUACUUCAGCCCAAUCCAGUGGCACUGGAGGCUUCCUUUUCCUCCACAGCUUAUCCAUUGUCAGCAAAUAUCUAAUGUCAUCUUUGAAAAGCUUGGUAAAAAGCUUAACUGGAUCAUAUCCAGUUGAUUUAGCCCACUCCUUAGUUGAAACACGUUUAAUCUCACCAUCUUCAUUUGAUGCUCGUGCUCUGGCUUCUGCUUCUGCUGGCUCCCAGGCAGCUUCAGGAUCAGCUCUGUCAGGAGAGACUUCUUGAUCAGCAUCUUCUUCUCCAAACAACUGAUUAAACAAAUACUUGGCCCACACAAUGCAGUGGAUAGGUUCUGACGGCGUGUUACGGAUUGUGCAGCCUGGAAAAGUCUUCUGAGUUGGUUUAGGAUGACAUUCAUAACAUUCCGUCACUCCCUUCUUAAUAACUGUUACUUGACCAAGGUAGCCUGCAGUUCCGCUCUCUAUAAGAGGAACAUCAGCAGCCAGACACAUCCUGUUCACAUGGUUGCGGGCAGCUCUGUUAUCCAGAGCAUUCAUAACCAACGUAAACUGGCGGAAGAACUCUACGUUAUAGUCAGGGUUCAUGAUGCUAUCAUGGUAAGCUAUAAUAUUAGCUUCUGGAUAAAACUGUAACACGCUUUCCUUGGCAACCUGCGCUUUUGAUCUUCCAACAUGUUUCUUUUGAAACAAAAACUGCCUGUUGAGAUUGCUGACAUCAAUAGUAUCCAAAUCAAUCACGUCGAUGUUGCUGAAGCCGGUGAGCACCAGGUCCUUGAGGAGCUCGCAGCCGAUGCCUCCGGCCCCCACCACCAAGAGCCGCGCUUGGGCCACGGCCUCCGCCAGCUCGCUGCCCAGGGGGCCCGACACGGGCACGGACAUGACGGCGGGCGAAAAACGGCGACGGGCGGAAAGAGCGGCGCCGCACGGCUCUCCUCAGCCGGGCCGCGCUCCGGACAGCGAGCCCGCGCG